rnacentral:rRNA from 1 species
AUUGAACGCUGGCGGCAGGCCUAACACAUGCGAGUCGAGCGGAUGAAGGGAGCUUGCUCCUGGAUUCAGCGGCGGACGGGUGAGUAAUGCCUAGGAAUCUGCCUGGUAGUGGGGGAUAACGUCCGGAAACGGGCGCUAAUACCGCAUACGUCCUGAGGGAGAAAGUGGGGGAUCUUCGGACCUCACGCUAUCAGAUGAGCCUAGGUCGGAUUAGCUAGUUGGUGGGGUAAAGGCCUACCAAGGCGACGAUCCGUAACUGGUCUGAGAGGAUGAUCAGUCACACUGGAACUGAGACACGGUCCAGACUCCUACGGGAGGCAGCAGUGGGGAAUAUUGGACAAUGGGCGAAAGCCUGAUCCAGCCAUGCCGCGUGUGUGAAGAAGGUCUUCGGAUUGUAAAGCACUUUAAGUUGGGAGGAAGGGCAGUAAGUUAAUACCUUGCUGUUUGGACGUUACCAACAGAAUAAGCACCGGCUAACUUCGU